rnacentral:rRNA from 1 species
CACACAGUAAACGAUGAAUACUCGCUGUUUGCGAUAUACAGUAAGCGGCCAAGCGAAAGCAUUAAGUAUUCCACCUGGGGAGUACGCCGGCAACGGUGAAACUCAAAGGAAUUGACGGGGGCCUGCACAAGCGGUGGAGCAUGUGGUUUAAUUCGAAGCAACGCGCAGAACCUUACCAACGUUUGACAUCCUUAUCGCGAUUAGCAGAGAUGCUUUUCUUCAGUUCGGCUGGAUAAGUGACAGGUGC